UACGGAGGAUGCAAGCGUUAUCCGGAAUUAUUGGGCGUAAAGCGUCCGUAGGUGGCUAAUCAAGUCUGGUGUCAAAGCGUGGAGCUUAACUCCAUAACGGCAGUGGAAACUGAUGAGCUAGAGUGCGAUAGGGGUAGCAGGAAUUCCCAGUGUAGCGGUGAAAUGCGUAGAGAUUGGGAAGAACACCAGCGGCGAAAGCGUGCUACUGGGUCUGCACUGACACUGAGGGACGAAAGCUAGGGGAGCGAAAGGG
rnacentral:rRNA from 1 species